CCUACGGGGGACAGCAGUGAGGAAUAUUGGUCAAUGGGCGCAAGCCUGAACCAGCCAAGUCGCGGGAGGGAAGACGGUCCGAUGGAUUGUAAACCUCUUUUGUCGGGGAGCAAAGCGCGGUACGAGUGCCGUGAAGGAGAGGACCCGAAGAAAAAGCAGCGGCUAACUCCGUGCCAGCAGCCGCGGUAAUACGGAGGAUGCGAGCGUGAUCGGGAUUGAUUGGGUUUAAAGGGUGCGUAGGCGGAUUUGUAAGUCAGCGGUAAAAAUGCGGUGCUCAACGCCGUAUCGCCGUUGAAACUGCAGGUCUUUAGUGAGCGCGAAGUAUGCGGCAUGCGUGUUGUAGCGG
rnacentral:rRNA from 1 species